rnacentral:lncRNA from 1 species
AGUCCAGGGCCUGGAAUGACCAGAGCUAUCACUGUUGAAUCUAACACAUUAUUCUGGUCUAAUUAGUAUUUUUCAGGACUUAAUCCAGCAACCUCGACUUCCUUUGGCUGUCCCAGAGUUAACAAAUUAGAAGCACAUACAGCCAACCCUGUACUUGUACACUGUUUCGGUUGCUUCCUGUCGCCAGGCGGCACUGCCUCGGGGGACCUCUGCCCCAUUCUAGCUCGAGCCCAAGGCCACAUCCAGGGAGCUGCGUGGCCACCUGCUGAGUGGGGGGCAUCGUAGUGCGAGUCUGAGAGGCUGAACAAACAGAUGGCAGGUUAGUCCGGCCUCUUCAAAGCGUUAAAUCAAGAGGUCUGAAAGGAAACCGGCGGUGGGCAAGCUGGGGUUUUCAAAGAUGCUUGAAGCGCAAGGAAGUGUCUCUGGACAGUCUGAGGAUCACAGUGUGGUCGAGCGUGGAAAAUGGUGGUGAAACCGUCUCACUGCAUACACGCUUCUCUGCUGUCAGAUUUGCACACUGGAUUCCCAAAAGCAAUUACACCAUCAGCAGCAGCAGUUCGGGUUUGUAAAGGUCUUCUUUUGCACCGUCUAUGAGCUAUUUAGGUUCCAUCUGUUCUAAGACAGAGAUUUAAAACUGGGUAACUGCGGGGAAUAUUUGUCCUCUUGGAGUUCUAAACUUUUACUACAUUAUGGAGUUGAGAAUAUAACAUUUUUUGAAAACACUUUUUUUUUUCAUAUAAUUGUAUAGAAAUUUGUAUUCAGAAACCCUUCAACGGUGGAAAAGCUCAUUACUCACAACUCUGGGUCACCCCUCGGCACUGCUGUGUCCUUCAGCAACAGAGGUGGGAAAACGAGAAGGAUCCUUUCUAAGCCUGAGAUUUAUGUUCCGAUAUUUAGAGUUUAUUUAGUUCUAGUUGUGUCUUAGCUUAAAAUAAAUCCUUGGGAUGGUGGUUGGUCUAAAGAGGUAUG